UACGGAGGGUGCGAGCGUUGUCCGGAAUCACUGGGCGUAAAGGGCGCGUAGGUGGCCCGUUAAGUGGCUGGUGAAAUCCCGGGGCUCAACUCCGGGGCUGCCGGUCAGACUGGCGAGCUAGAGCACGGUAGGGGCAGAUGGAAUUCCGGGUGUAGCGGUGGAAUGCGUAGAGAUCCGGAAGAACACCGGUGGCGAAGGCGGUCUGCUGGCAGUGGACCCGUGAGGUCCAGUAGCCGACACUGAUGCGCGACAGCGUGGGGAGCAAACAGG
rnacentral:rRNA from 1 species